AAAAAAAAAAAGUAGGCUUUUCCUGGUGGAUCCUGCUUUUGACUGCAGACAGACAUGAGGGGGAGGGAGGCCAUGUAGCUGUCCUGCCCAGAGUGACCCUGUGCUACACGGAAUACACAGAACACCCAUGUCUGUGUAAGUGCAGAGAAUAGAGCUGAACUAGGCAGGCCUCUAUCCCGAGAAAUCUCACGCCCGGCCCCAUGUCUCAGUUGAAGAAUUAGAGCCUUCCCCUUGGUUAUGUCUUCAGAGGAACGACAGUGGCAGAUAGAGUCGAAUCUUGAGAAAGAAGCUGAACACUGGUGUGAGGUCCUUCCCUUCGGUCCCGUGUGCAGCCUGAAUUGAUGGUGCUGGGUGAGCACUUCAGAAGUAUAAGGCCAGUCAGCAUUUUUAGGGACCUGAAUCAGCAUGACACUGGGUUUGAGUGUCCCUGGCCUUCCAUUGUAGUCUCAUGUCUGCUCAGCCCACUCACCGGGCAGGUUCCCUGGGUCUGUGUCUCCGUGGUCCCCAGCUCCCCAGGCAGACCAGAGUGUUCACCACAGCGUACUCACCCCAGUCUCCUCCCGUGCCACUUUCUCCCAGGAAUCUGAUGCAGACCUCUGAUGCCCCCACCCAUUUCUUUCCCAGCUCUGCCUCUGCCUUCCCUUGGGCUGGCACUGUCUCCCGUGUGGGCUAUUCCCAGCGCUCCUCCUGCUCUCAGCCUUCCUAAUGGCCUCCUGUCUCAGGUUGUCCUUUCCUGAGCUACUAGAGUAUCCCUCUAAAAGACCCCAAAUGCUUCUCAGUGAGGAAAGAGUAGCACAGACCCCCCAUCUGUCCUAGGCCAGUAUUCACGAUGGCCUGUGGCCACACUGGUCUACUCCUCGGGACCAUGCCCAACCAGCCGCUAACCUCCCCUCUUCCCCUACCUGUCUGAGCUCACUGCCGGGUCUGGUUAGCAGAUCGCCCCCACAAACUUCCUCCAAUGGCUUUUUCCCUACACCCUCUCCUUGGGGUUUUCUGCUCAGCUGUCUUGUUGAUGGCUAACCCUCUGGGGACAUCCCAGCCAACUCCCAGUUGUACCUUUCUGUCCCCCAGGACAGGACAUUUGCAGAGACACACUCUGCCACCAAUGCCAAAGGAGUGUGACUGUUAAGUGCUCUUUAAUAGGUGUCCUGGGCAGUGAGGGAGACCUUUGGUUUUUCCUUGGGUAUUAACUGUACUUCUGCCACUGCUCAUGGGUAUUCUCUCUGUCAUGUAUAUAUGCAUGUAUGUAUGCAUAUAUGUAAGUGUGUGUGUGUGUGUGUGUGUGUGUGUGUGUGUGUGUGUGUGUACUCAUGUACUCAGUUUUGUAGUCACAACCUGCUGGGAUUUACCACAAUUUCCCUCUGUCCUACUGAGACCGAGCAAGUUAAGGAAACCUGUCAGGCAGAUAUAUAUCAUCCCCUGUCCUGCCCACUGUCACCUCCUCCCUCUGUUAACCUAGCUGCUCAGUGUCCCUGUAUCUGCAAAGUGGUUUCCCUUGCCAUGAUGGUUCUUUUGGAAAGCCCAACCCAUCCCCCACAUUCUUCUAUCAUAGAAUAAGACCCCCAAGACCUUAUGGUAAGGACAGCUGUGAGGAAGAAAGGCUAGUCCAUCUCCCCAAUUCCUGGCUUCAGGAUGGCAAGAUCGAAGCUAGCCCAGAAGCUAGCCCAGUGCGAGCUUUCCUAGCUGAGCCUGGGGAGCUCCCGUUUCCAUUACUUCUGGUGCCUUGAAAGUCAGGCUUUCAAAGUCGCCUGCCUCCACCCGAGGGAGGCCCUUGGGAAAUCUCAUCUGGACGUGUGCAUGAAGAUGCACGCACUGGCCCUGCUUCUGAGUGCUCUUGUUUGAAGAGAGUGGGAGUGGGGUGCUGAGGGCUUCAUCCUGCCAGUCAGUCCUGGAGGAGGUGACCAUAGCAUCCGAAGCUGAGAGGCACCUAUCAGAACACGUCUUGGGGGAGUAUGGAAGGCGGGGUUCACCGAGUACUGGAGAAUGUCAAGUGUAGGCUAGAAGUGGAGGGAGGCAGGCCAGCCAGCAGUGCCAGCUUUAAGUCUGGCUCGCUCUCACGGGCCCUUCAGUUCUGUCUCCUGGGUACCACAAGCCAGAUGGACCUCCAGCUGCCUGCCUCGGCCUCCCUGACAGGCUGGACUGGUACAGCAUUUCCCGUGACAAGAUCCGGCCCAGAGUGGGCAGGCCAAUGGCUCAAGGUGGCAUGCCGUUUGCUAUCCUGAUUUCUGAGUCCUGGACUCCACACAGUCUCAGCCCAGGCGUCCAGGCCCACCACACCACCCACUCCAGGUGCUUCUGAGUCAUGAGCUGUGAAGAGGAAAAGGAAGGAUGGAGCCAGAGGUUUGGUGUGCUCCAGGCCCUCAUUUCCCAUAGCUGCCUCCUCCCAGCUGGGCUAGCGAGCCUCUGUAACCAUCCGCGCACUCCCCAGGCUCGAUCCUCUCUGACGUAUAAGUGACUCAUUUCCUCAACUUUCCCCUUUUCUCUACUUAUUAGAAGAAUAAACAUCUUGCAUAGA